rnacentral:rRNA from 1 species
GACGAACGCUGGCGGCGUGCUUAACACAUGCAAGUCGAACGGAAAGGCCCUGCUUUUGUGGGGUGCUCGAGUGGCGAACGGGUGAGUAACACGUGAGUAACCUGCCCUUGACUUUGGGAUAACUUCAGGAAACUGGGGCUAAUACCGGAUAGGAGCUCCUGCUGCAUGGUGGGGGUUGGAAAGUUUCGGCGGUUGGGGAUGGACUCGCGGCUUAUCAGCUUGUUGGUGGGGUAGUGGCUUACCAAGGCUUUGACGGGUAGCCGGCCUGAGAGGGUGACCGGCCACAUUGGGACUGAGAUACGGCCCAGACGCCUACGGGAGGCAGCAGUGGGGAAUAUUGCACAAUGGGCGGAAGCAUGAUGCAGCAACGCCGCGUGCGGGAUGACGGCCUUCGGGUUGUAAACCGCUUUCGCCGGUGACGAAGCGUGAGUGACGGUAAUGGGUAAAGAAGCACCGGCUAACUACGUG